rnacentral:rRNA from 1 species
UGGGGAAUAUUGCACAAUGGGCGCAAGCCUGAUGCAGCAAUGCCGCGUGAGUGAAGACGGCCUUAGGGUUGUAAAACUCUUUCGCUAGGGAAGAUAAUGACGGUACCUAGUAAAGAAGUCCCGGCUAACUCCGUGCCAGCAGCCGCGGUAAUACGGAGGGGACUAGCGUUGUUCGGAAUUACUGGGCGUAAAGAGUUCGUAGGCGGACUAGCAAGUUAGAGGUGAAAUCCCAGGGCUCAACCUUGGAACUGCCUUUAAAACUGCUAGUCUAGAGACCGGAAGAGGUUAGGGGAAUACCUAGUGUAGAGGUGAAAUUCGUAGAUAUUAGGUGGAACACCAGUGGCGAAGGCGCCUAACUGGUCCGGUACUGACGCUGAGGAACGAAAGCGUGGGGAGCAAACAGGAUUAGAUACCCUGGUAGUCCACGCCGUAAACGAUGAGUGCUAGAUGUUGGGAUUUUCGGA